rnacentral:tRNA from 1 species
GGGGACUUAGCUCAGUGGUAGAGCGCUUGCCUAGCAAGUGCAAGGCCCUGGGUUCAGUUCCCAGCUCCG